rnacentral:rRNA from 1 species
GAUGAACGCUGGCGGCGUGCCUAAUACAUGCAAGUCGAGCGAAUGGAUUAAGAGCUUGCUCUUAUGAAGUUAGCGGCGGACGGGUGAGUAACACGUGGGUAACCUGCCCAUAAGACUGGGAUAACUCCGGGAAACCGGGGCUAAUACCGGAUAACAUUUUGAACCGCAUGGUUCGAAAUUGAAAGGCGGCUUCGGCUGUCACUUAUGGAUGGACCCGCGUCGCAUUAGCUAGUUGGUGAGGUAACGGCCCACCAAGGCAACGAUGCGUAGCCGACCUGAGAGGGUGAUCGGCCACACUGGGACUGGUACACGGCCCAGACUCCUACGAGAGGCAGCAGUAGGGAAUCUUCCGCAAUGGACGAAAGUCUGACGGAGCAACGCCGCGUGAGUGAUGAAGGCUUUCGGGUCGUAAAACUCUGUUGUUAGGGAAGAACAAGUGCUAGUUGAAUAAGCUGGCACCUUGACGGUACCUAACCAGAAAGCCACGGCUAGCUACGUGCCAGCCGCCGCGGUAA